UACGUAGGGUGCAAGCGUUGUCCGGAAUUAUUGGGCGUAAAGAGCUCGUAGGUGGCCUGUCGCGUCGGCUGUGAAAACUCGGGGCUCAACUCCGAGCUUGCAGUCGAUACGGGCAGGCUAGAGUUCGGCAGGGGAGACUGGAAUUCCUGGUGUAGCGGUGAAAUGCGCAGAUAUCGGGAAGAACACCCGUGGCGAAGGCGGUUCUCUGGGACGGUACUGACGCUGAGACGCGAAAGCGUGGGGAGCAAACAGG
rnacentral:rRNA from 1 species